UACAAUUAACUCGUAAUAUGUGGACCAAUUAUCGAUAAUCCUGCCAUGUCAAGUAAUAGAUUAGAUCUUUAAGCAACAGUAUAUAAAUGCAUUACCCACGUUUUAUCUUUAGUUUAUAAGUCUAUUGGAAUAUACGAAUAUCAAGAUGAUGAAACAAGUUGUUACUGUAUUUGCCUAUUUGGCUGCCGUAUCCAUGGCUGUUCCUAUGGGAGGUCUUGGUAUGGGCAUGUAUGGAGCUGGUCUGGGGGGAAUGGGCAUGUAUGGUGCUGGUCUUGGAGCAAUGGGCAUGUAUGGCGGAUUAGGAGGAUUCGGGAUGAAUGGUGCUGGUAUGUACGGAGGUCUGGGUGGACUUGGCAUGUACAGUGGCAUGGGAAUGUACCCUAUGGGUGGACUUGGCAUGUACGGAGGUCUAGGAAUGUACGGUGGCUUAGGCGGCCUUGGAAUGUAUGGAACUGGUUUAGGAGGCCUUGGUAUGCACACUGCUGCUUUAGGAGGCCUUGGUAUGUACGGUGGUAUGAACGGCGCUUUUGUUGGUGGAAUGAACCCAGAAAUGAAUGUUGAAGGUCAAGCUAACGGCAUGGUGUAGACUUUAAAACUUGAACAUUAUAAAACAUUUAUUAUUUAAUUCAUUAUCAUUCAUUUUCUCUUGUUAAAUUAUUUCGGUAUAAAACCAAAAAUGAGUAAUACAAAAAUUGAAAUUAAUACGCAUAUUAUGAAUAAAUGUAAUUGUUAUAAAUAUAUAUACUUUACAAUUUGUU